rnacentral:rRNA from 1 species
GACGGAGGAGGCAAGCGUUAUCCGGAAUUAUUGGGCGUAAAGCGUCCGUAGGCGGUUUUUUAAGUCUGUUGUCAAAGCCCACAGCUCAACUGUGGAUCGGCAAUGGAAACUGGGGAACUUGAGUGUGGUAGGGGUAGAGGGAAUUCCCGGUGUAGCGGUGAAAUGCGUAGAUAUCGGGAAGAACACCAGUGGCGAAGGCGCUCUACUGGGCCACAACUGACGCUGAUGGACGAAAGCUAGGGGAGCGAAAGGG